rnacentral:tRNA from 1 species
GGGUCGUUAGCUCAGUCGGUAGAGCAGUUGGCUUUUAACCAAUUGGUCGAUGGUUCGAACCCAUCACGACCCACCA